rnacentral:rRNA from 1 species
GCACAAGCGGUGGAUGAUGUGGUUUAAUUCGAUGCAACGCGAAAAACCUUACCCACCUUUGACAUGGCAGGAAUCCUAAAGAGAUUUGGGAGUGCUCGAAAGAGAACCUGCACACAGGUGCUGCAUGGCUGUCGUCAGCUCGUGUCGUGAGAUGUUGGGUUAAGUCCCGCAACGAGCGCAACCCUUGCCAUUAGUUGCUACGAAAGGGCACUCUAAUGGGACUGCCGGUGACAAGCCGGAGGAAGGUGGGGAUGACGUCAAGUCCUCAUGGCCCUUAUAGGUGGGGCUACACACGUCAUACAAUGGCCGGUACAGAGGGUAGCCAACCCGCGAGGGGGAGCCAAUCCCACAAAGCCGGUCGUAGUCCGGAUCGCAGUCUGCAACUCGACUGCGUGAAGUCGGAAUCGCUAGUAAUCGCGGAUCAGCAUGUCGCGGUGAAUACGUUCCCGGGUCUU